CCUUCCUGACUAUAGAGUCCAAGCAGGCCGCAGCCAGUACAGCACCCACCAGUGAGGAAGACCUGUGUCCUAUCUGCUAUGCACACUCCAUCUCUGCUGUCUUCAAACCCUGCUCUCACAAGUCCUGCAAAGCGUGUAUAAAUCAGCACCUGAUGAACAACAAGGAUUGUUUCUUCUGCAAGGCCACCAUCACUGGAGUGGAGGACUACAGCAAGCCAUCUUAACACCUCAUACACACGCACACACACACACACUAGGCUCGGACAACAGCAACCACGUUGAACACACACCUGAGAGACCCUAGAUGCACUCUCUCACACAGAGCAUACAGGUACACACACACACAUACACACGCACUACCACUCACCUCAUCAAGCACAAUGUUCCCUCACUUUGUCCCCUGACAUGUUGUAAACUCUCCGUAUUGAUCACCAGACCAGAAGGUCUAGCCAGAAAACAGACAGGAACAGACACUUCUACUACACCAGCGUUGUUACUCCGACAGCUCCACAGAUAACUCCCCUCUCUCCUCCC